CACGACGCUGCGGAGACCGACACGAGGAGCACAGGCAGAGGCAGUGAGCGACCAGGACGGGGACACGUGCGCGCACGCAGACACGGCAGCAGCGUGGGACAUGAGUGAAGACAACCCUGCAACUCAAGGAGGGAGCAGGAUUUGGCUCGCAAACCGUGGGGUUUACGUCAAAAAAGAAUUAGCCAGUUUCUACUAUAGAGUCCAUAGAUAUUAAUAUUAUAGCGCUUAGAAAGUUUUAUUGUAGCGCGGGCGAGGGGAUGGUGGGAGGGGGUAGCGGCCCAGCCCCCAGCCUGCCAAGGUGCCACCUCGGCCAGCUGGGCAAUCCAGGCGAGGCCGGGGGCUCUGCACGCGACUAGGCCUCACGACACCACUCUGUCAGCGACAUUGCAUCCGAUCGCUCACCACACAUGAGCACCGCCGCCGUGAUGACGCUACCUGGAUGAAGCUGCAGAGGAACGAGGAUGAGCACACGUUGACUGCGCCCACGGUGCCGGCUUUCGAGCCACCGCUGCUGCGCGCACGACCUGCUGACACCGCUCCUGCCUUCACAGCCUCCUACCUACUGCUGUCCAGUUUAAGGAUGGUUUUUUUUUCUCUUCACUAUUCAUAAUCCUCAAAAGCCCAAUACGUAUGUAAUAUGGUACCUUUGCACACUUAUGUAAUGUGACGGUGCUGAUCCUGCACACGUAUCGCCGAUUCGAGUUAUUUCACAUCACUCCCCCAACUCUACUGGACACCCCCUGCUUCACGAUCACUGUCUCCUAUUAAAUCCUCUCAUUGAUCUUCGUUAAAUGGAAGGGGGGGGAGGGUCAUUUCAAGCUUUGCAUUAUGCCAGUCGAUGGGCUGAGUGUACAAACGAUGCAUAUUCUUUCAUGUGACCAAGUGAAGAAAUAAAUACUAGCUUUAAUCCAUAUGGGACUUUGACACAUCUUAAGUUUUUGAUAUUAAGAAUCUAAUUAUGUCUCUCUUCAAUUACCACUAUCAGCUUGCCAUAUGAGCAGCAAUGGAACAUGGCCUGUAUGUCACUUUGGAUGUCACAGGCGAAGACGUGUUACAGCUGGCGUCGACCCACAGCAAAAACCUUUUCAUCACUAGAGGUCAGUUUUAGCAUUGGGACGUCUUACUUAUCGACGUGAUCUAUUCAAUCACCGACUCAUGUCUGUCUCAGAUAAGUUGGAGUAUCGGCAGAAUAGAGUCAAUCACGGAGGCGUGAGGCAUGCCCGUAGCAUCUCUUGGCAUAUUGACAUCAUUUGCUCGUUCAUCAGGCAGGCAUGAUGUAUGCCUCUGCCUGACAGCUGAAUAUAUAUGAAUGAGCUAUCAAAUAAGGGUCCUUGCCUGUAAACAUUGGGCAGUUCGCGAGCAAUGGUUUGAGUGGGGCAGGCUCUGCUGGUAAGUCACUGAAUAUCAAAACCAAAGUUAAGCCAAUGCUGCUGACGAGAUGCACUCCCAAAGGGCCACAUGGAUACACGUUUGCUAUUUUUAAAUAAAGAGAAGCAUUUCAGGAGUCGGAAUUUCAUUAUUUUCCUAUCAAACAUCCAGCUGAAUGGUGCUACGGUUAGAGUGCUUGACUUACAAACAGAGGUUUCUGAGUUCAUACUCCAGACAAGUGCUGACUCACCCUGUCUUUCCUCCGGGGACCAUUUGAGUGCAAAGCUCAGCAGCAGUCAUCUUAUCAGAAUCAGAAUAUUUAUUGCUACUGGAGGUAUCCGAUGACCAAUAAAGCUCUUUUUCACAGAUGUUCAGUCGGGGCGGAUAAGAACGUUACGUAGAAAUGAGGACCAACAACAGAGUGGAUAUUAUAGAACAUGUGAUAGAUUGCGUGUCAUGAUUACAACCCAAAUAUAAAAUCUGAAAUAUGACCAAAACUCUAUCACCACCCAGUGUCUAUGCACUGCUAGAUGAAGGACUUUUCAUGCUCUCACCAACGACGGUUCCUGGGAUGCUACCAUUGAUCUCUCUCCUCCGUACAAAUUGAUCUUGUGGCUCCAUCUGCACAGCGAACAUCCUCCCAGGGACAUUUUCUCCUCACCGAGUUUAUUACCAUCGUUGUUGUACUUGUUAUUUGGCUGAUAUUCUAUCCAUUACUUUGGAGCUGUGUCCUGCUCAAGCCCACGUGCUUUUUCGCCCCAUCAUCCUCUGAGCUAAGUGUGCUUCUUCACGUCUCUCACAACACAACAGUCCCAAACAAUUAGAAAGGUUCCUCCAGCCUCCUUGCACAGAGGUCUCUCUUGAGAAGGCUGAUGCAUCUCAAUGGGAUUUCACCUUGCUAACGAGAAUACUCAAUAACAAAAGGAGUGGAAUAACUGUUUACAAACUCGGGGCACAUUAGCACCAUUUUUACAUUGGAUUAUUCAUUAAACGCACACAGAUCCACCGUAUAGCCUUAACAGACUUUUUUUCUGGGGAAAGUGCUGUUAGCGAGCACCUGCGAAGGCCAGCACCGCACACAAGUGGGUGGGCGGCCAGCACCACGACCUUUGUCUCCCCAGUGACGUUGUUUUACACACUCAUUUGAGCUCGAGUCGACCACACGCAGCCCCAGGACCGGUUAAAACAUUCACCACUGUUAUUGAUCGUGAGCGGGAAUCGAACUCGGGUGGCCGAGUUUGUAGUGCAGUGCGCUAACCACGACACGACCUCUCUCCACAGUGACUCACAUGUUAAUAACAAUAAUGAAUGGUGAGCCCUUUCACAAACCACUGCUGGAUGAGGACCUCCCCACGCCGUGUCA